UCAAGAUAUCCUUCAGUUGAAAACUUCCGCCACUCAAAUAUUUCUCAGAAAAUGAUUUACAACAAGCUUUUCAUACUAAAUCUCCAUUCAAACUGAUGUGCCAGUUUAUAAAUUGUAAAGUGUGGGUCCCAUGAAUUUCAAAUGAUUGGUCUCCCAUGAAAAAUUUAACUGAUACAGGUGUUUGUAAGAGAAUUUUGUAUAGAAAGUUUGUAUAACGUUACACAUAUUUCUCUUUCAUUGUGAGAAUCUAUGCAAGUUUAAAUGCUAAGCUUUGUAUCUGUUGACAAAAAUCGAAUUAGCACCCAAGUUUCCCUUAACUAAAGAUAACCUGCAGAGACAUCGCAGGUUGUGUAGAGUUUCAAUUCCUAACAGUCAGGGAUUGUCUCUCCUUGGCCGAGAUCUCUAUAACGCUCAUCUUCAAGUGUUGUUAGGGGACAGUGGUUAUAGAUCAAAUAACACUGUUGGUAAUGUGUCUCAUACCGCCACUGAUUCAUUCCUUUCAUCUCUUAUUUUAAAUUUCUCUACAUCCAAAGCAGAAGAAAUUUCAAAAUAUGUGGGAACAAGUGUUGAGGAUUCUUCUGCAAAGAAUGCAGCACCAUCACAUAUGUGGAAAUCAAGAGAAAACACCGUGGAUUGGCUGAGGGAGGCUGCUGGAAACUGGUCACUGAAGGCUCACCACCGUCCAAUGCAGUACAGGGUACAACUUACUGUACCUGUUGGAAGCAGGUCACUGAAGAUUCACCAAACAGCAGGUCCAUAAAGUAUAUCGAACAUCACCUCCGUACAACAACACGCAGGUCACUGUUUUUUUCUCCUUGCUUUUUUGUACUGCAUUUUGCAUAAUGCUACCCUUUUUUCACCUACAAUUAGUUCCAUUGUUUCAGUCUUUUUUUCUUCUUUUUCGACUGUGCUCACUGGUGUGCCUUCUAUGUUUUUUUCUUGGCGUUGUUGUUCCUUUAAUCUGCUUGAUGUUUUGCGUUUUGUUC